AGCGAACGCUGGCGGCGUGGCUUAGGCAUGCAAGUCGAGCGAGAAACCAGGGGCAACUCUGGUAGUAAAGCGGCGAAAGGGUGAGGAUUAUAUCGACAACCUACCCCGAUGACCGGGACAACGACUGGAAACGGUCGCUAAUACCGGAUGGCCCCGCAGGGAGGCAUCUUCCCGCGGGUAAAUGGAGGGGACCUUUAGGCCUUCCGCAUCGUGAGGGGUCGGAUAUCCUAUCAGCUAGUUGGCGGGGUAAUGGCCCACCAAGGCGACGACGGGUAGCCGGACUGAGAGGUUGGCCGGUCACACUGGGACUGAGACACUGCCCAGACUCCUACGGGAGGCUGCAGUCGCGAAUAUUCCGCAAUGGGCGAAAGCCUGACGGAGCGACGCCGCGUGUGGGAUGAAGGCCUGGUGUAAC
rnacentral:rRNA from 1 species